ensembl:lncRNA
CUUUCUUCACAGUCCAACUCUCACAUCCAUACAUGACCACUGGAAAAACCAUAGCCUUGACUAGAUGGACCUUUGUUGGCAAAGUAAUAUCUCUGCUUUCUAGGUUGCUGUGAUACCCAUAGGUUUCUAGAUACCUAUGCUGUCUAGGUUGGUCAUAACUUUCCUUCCAAGGUGCCGGGAGCCAGCGUGGAGGAUCCCACCCAUGGCAAAGGUCAUGAGGAAGAGGCCUGAUGGGCAAAGGCGAGAUCAGGCCUCAAGGGGCCCCCCUUCUCGAGCAUCUACCCCAAAACCAGAAUCUGUUUUUUCAUGACUUUCACCAACUCCUCUGACAUUAACAGGGAGCUAUCCCUGACCACCUUUCUCUGGAGAAAAUCAACUUUGGGCUCUAGCUAAUAAAUCUCCUGGGCAUGAAAAGAGUGUUUCAAUUCAAACCCCCUGUUAGCAUUCUAGCUUACUUGGCAGGUUUAUCCAGACUCUUGCAGCAUUGUUGAGCCAAUGCUUGCUGCCAAGUUCUCACAUCCCUUAUCCAUUGUGUUCCUGGGAGUGCAUAUAGUCAGGAUGUAGAAAAAACAAGCAGCAGCUUUAGCAUUAGCAACAUUAGACUUUGAGUUAAUAAGUUCUUUCUUUGCUGUAACCCCCUGAAUCUUUGCUCCAUAAAAAUGUAACUCUGUACUUUAAGGGUGAUGCAGGCUAGAAAUUUAAGAAGAAACACUUCAAGGGAAAAUUAUUGUUCUGGCUGACCAACCUUUAUCAAAAAGAGGUCAUAAAAUAUCAACAGGUCUCCGGGCCAGAAGAUAAUGUACAAAAAUUAAGACUCUUGCAGGAAAGAACCUGAUAUUGAUAAAAGUUAAUACUGAUGGAAUGUUGAGUUGACUGCAUUUUUCACUUUGCUCAAUGUACAACUCAGGGUAUAAAAGCCCUCUCUGAAAAUAAAGUGAGGGGCCUUGCUCUUUGAAGCUUGGUCACCCUGUGUCAUUCUUUCCUUAUCUCUUUCUCUGUCUUUCUACAUUCACUGACGUCGUCCAUCCUGAGGAUAUCCCUGGACUCUGCUGAGGCUGGACCUUGGUACCAAAGAUGCUCUGGCACCAAACCCUAUCUCCAGUGUAUGCCUGUAGUUAUAGCUGCUUUGAAUGAUCUGUCUGCUAAAUAUAAAAUCUGGGCCAGCUCACAAUGAAGAAGAAGCAAAUGAGGCUCAGGAAGGCACUGCUCCAAGACACUGAGUAGCCAGAUCAAGGAAACUUGAAGCAGCAGUGAUUUGAGAUGAGAUAAGCUUCAAGGAGGAGAAGGUAAUGGCAUUCCACUCCAGUACUCUAGCCUGGAAAAUCUCAUGGAUGGAGGAGCCUGGUGGGCUGCAGUCCAUGGGGUCGCUAGGAGUCGGACACGACUGAGCGACUUCACUUUCACUUUUCACUUUCAUGCAUUGGAGAAGGAAAUGGCAACCCACUCCAGUGUUCUUGCCUGGAGAAUCCCAGGGAUGGGGGAGCCUGGUGGGCUGCCGUCUCUGGGGUCGCACAGAGUCGGACACGACUAAAGCGACUUAGCAGCAGCAGCAGCAGCAAGCUUCAAGGAAUAAUGAAUCUGAGCUCGUAGCUGAAGCCAAGGGAUAGAAUAUGCAGUAAGAGAAAGAGAAGAGGGAAUUAUGUUGUUUAUUGGCGCCCUUCCUCCCCCAUGUCAAAUAAUUUAUGUAUAUUAUUCCAUGAAGUCUUCAGAACCAAUCUGCAAGGCAGGUGUUCCCCCCACACGACAGAUGAAGAAAUAGGCUCAGAGUGAUUGAAUGUCUUAUUAAAGGUCACAGAGAUUGAAAACGUCAGAGCCUUGAGGUGUUACCUCUAGUUGUUUGUGACUCAAAGAAAAAGUUGAUGAGAGCUCCUGGAUUCUAGAGUAGGAAUGUGGGUUUAAUAAAGGUUUCUCUAUUUCCUUGGCAGAGAGCAGUCUGAUUCCCUGGAUCAGGCUCUAGAAUAACCACAGGACUGACCCAGGAUGUGUCUGGAUUCCUUAGACUCACAUAAUUCUUAGGCUGUAGUUUUUAUUUUCAAUUUUUAUAGUUAUAAUGAAUGCUGCAAUAAAUUCCUUCAUUACAAAGGUUUUAUUAAAAACCCUUUGCAAGCAAAGCAUCUAAUAUAAUUCAGUUUAUGUGUCAGUUUAUAUGUUUGUGUAUAUGUCUGCUUAUGUGUAUACAUCUUAGUUAUUCUAUUUGAACAUAUCUGGAUACCUCAGAGAUGCUUAGUGAAUACUUACACAUUUAUUUCUUUAAAAAAUGAAAUUUAUUUUCCAAAUCCUUAAGUGAAUAAAUGACUUAUAGAAAAUAAGAACAAUUUCAAAAAUUAGGAAAAGCUCUUAAUUCUUUGCUACUUUAGGCAGCCUCUAGUAUACAACAUUGUAGUUAAAAUGUAGGCCACAAAUUUAUAUUUCUGGAAUUAUGGCAGAGACCAAGGCCUAUUGAAAAGAACUCAAAAUGCUAUGGUAAAUAAGACUGUAACUUGUCAUUUUGGAGUAUUUUGUUUGAG